rnacentral:misc_RNA from 1 species
GUGAAUCAUCAAAUCUUUGAACGCAUGUUGCACUUUCUGGUAUUCCGGAGAGUAUGCCUAUUUGAGGGUCAUUUGAAAUAAUAUAAAAUUUGAGAUCUUUCUGGAAUUAAAAAUGGGACGGUCUAGCUUUUGUGCGGUGGUAGUGUAAAAUGCAAGACAAGCUCCUUUCUUGGGUUGUGUGAUAUUGUC